rnacentral:rRNA from 1 species
GUCUACAGUCAUGCUACCAUGAACAAGCCUAAUCUUGUUGGAUCUCGAAAGCUAAGCAAGGUCUGGCCUGGUUAUUACUUGAUAGGGAGACCACCUAGGAAGACCAGGUGCUGUAGGUG